rnacentral:rRNA from 1 species
UGGUGGAGCGAUUUGUCUGGUUAAUUCCGAUAACGAACGAGACUCUAGCCUACUAAAUAGUUCACCGGUGCACGAAGGCCGGUGCCCGAAGGCCGGUGCCAACUUCUUAGAGGGACAAGUGGCGCUUAGCCACACGAGAUUGAGCAAUAACA